AUUAUAUGGAGCAAUCUGGUGGUGAAGUAUCAAGUGAAGUGGAUUGCUAUUGAUUGGAUUGCUAUCUGUUCAUCAUUUUUCUCUUCCACAAUUGUGGAUUGUGGGACUCCCAAACUUCUGAAUGCUUAUGUUUAUGUAUGUGGCCUGAACAACCAGAUGCAUUCACACUUGAGGUAGAUUGAGAAAGUUUUUGGGCAGGAAUUUACACAAACUUUAUACAAUCAACAUAAAACUCAUCUUGUUUCAGUGACCUACUAUACCACCAUAAUAUUGAAAUCAUGGUCAUGUGGUCAGGGGAAAAUGAUAUGUCUUGUUUGACAUCUGCUCAUACAUGUGUUAAUCACCUUUGCUGAGUCACUAAAAUACGCUCAACGGUUUAUUUUCCUUAUUUUCCUAUUGUCAUUGAUGUAUGUGUUGAUAUCUGCCAGUAUAAUUUUUUUUUUUUGUUUUUUUUUGUCUUGAUGAACACGUUUCGCCUCAGGUGUGUGCCGUUUUGGUCUAGGCUUGUUUGGUGUAUCGUGUUCACACAGGGAGGGCAGAUAAGCCCCCUCAAGCAUGCAUGGAAAUCAAGUGUGUCAUCAUGAAUAGCGACACAUCCACCUCAAAGUCAUUCCUGUUUCAGCUUAAGCAGCAUUGUGUGAGAUUGCAUCUCAGAAAAGUCAGAGACUCCGGUUUGAACUCGGCACUUCUGUCAGCUCGGGGGAGGGGUCAGGAACCCUGACCUCACUUCCUGUGGUGACUUCACAAACCAUGCAUUGUGUGUGAGAAUGUGACAGGGCUCCUGGGACUCCUCUGCAUCUGGCAGCUGUUUUGACCACCCCCAUCCCUUUCCACCACCACCAGGAAGAUCUAUGUAUGUUCCUGGUACUCACCUCAGGAACUCCCCCAAAAUAACACCACUGGCUUGAACUUCAUUUCUACGCCGUUAUGUAUCUCAAACAUGCUCUGAAUUUGGUCUGCCACACUCUGGUUUUCACCAUCAGGUUUUACCAGAAGAAGUUCCGUUUUGAUGUGGUUUAUGUCAACGUCUCUUGCGAGUGCCUCACCCUUCAGAGGACAGACGUUAGUGGUCAUCAUGAGUUCCUCUUACCAAAGGAGAACAAGCUUGUUAUUCGGAAUCAUUUUCAUUGCUAUUUUCCCAUUAGUACUUCAGGUAUUAUUUAGGGAACCUUCUUAUUUCGUUUUUUGUGAAAUGCCACAUUUGUGUCACUGUCUUUCUCACGGAGGCUUGACGCAUGUGUUCUUGGUAGGUGCUCUGAGAGGAUGAUGCUAAUUUUAGACUGUCUCAUAGGCAAUUCAUUACAGGCUUCCUGUUUAAAGUUUGAAUAUGAAAGGCGCAUAUCCUCUGUCAUUCUGCAUUAAAAGAUGUUCAGUUUAGAACAAAUAGGAAUAAUUUUUAUAUUUUGAGAUAUAAUUUAAUAGUUGAUUCUUGAAUCUCUGUAUUAAGAUGUAGAAUAUUAUUAUUAUUUUUAAAGGAAUUUUAAAUGACUUGAUGCAAACUACCACUAAACAUGAUGAUGCCCUUGCAAGGGACCCCCUUCCUAAAAUAUUAAGGCAGCUUUAUAUUUAUGUUCUAUUUUGCUUGUAUUUUGUCAUUGUACAGAUUGUAGAUUUAUAGAUGAAAUAUAGUGUGUGUGUGUGAGUGUGUGUGUGUGUAUGUAUGUGUGUGUAUAUAUAUAUAUAUAUAUAUAUAUAUAUAUAUACACACACACACUCAGUGCAAAUAGCCACUGCCAUAUAUAUAUAUAUAUAUAUAGCAGCAGCUAUUUACACUAAGUCACAAUAGCAGCGUUUUCUUAGCGAUAUGCUAUUUACACUAGGUGAAAACCAGCGUUGAUCGCAUUGCACCACUGAAGACGUUGAAUUCUAUGCGUCUUUUUUAAAACUUGAGUGGCCCAACCAGACAUUGGUGGGCGGAGCUAGUGUAAAUAGCAUUUGCCAACAAGGGACGCUAUUUGCACUUAGUGUAAAUAGACAUAUAUUUGUGUAUUUAUAUACAUAUAUAUAUAUAUAUAUAUAUAUAUAUUCUUCAAAAUUUGCCCCCCAAUACUUGAUUCUGAUUGGUCAAUUGCAACAUUCUGUAUAAUAUAAAAGCCGCUGUACUUUAUAAUUGACCAUCGUGCCUACUAAUUAGCUUUGCUGUGUUAGUAUCUUGUAUCUCAUAUGCGGUCUCUUGCCACAUUAUAAAAUAAUUUAAACUCAAAUCAAUAUUUCAAGUCCAUUUAUGUAUCUACUGUAUAUUGUUGUAACUGUGUAAGUGGGUAAUGUACAGUCAGCCAUUAAUUAUUGCAAAAUAAAUAUCUGGUAUCAGUAUUGUGCUGAUUAGUUAUCACUGUAAACAGAAGUAAAACAGAAUACAUAUAUAUCUAUAUAGUCAGAGACCUUUGAAAGAAAAAAAAAAUUGUGAAAUACAGAACUGUCCUCACAUUUCAUUUCCUCUAUUUAAUUGAGUGGGAACAUCUCCAGCAUUUGCGGAUUGGCAUAUACUCUUCCUCUUUUUCCAUCUUCAUCACAGACCAUUUAUAUUUUCAGAACAUCUGUAGAUUCUCUUUCUGUCAUGUGGUCUGCGGUCCUGUGAUCCAGUGAGUCUGAUGUCUUAUGAUGAGUCUACAGUCACACUCAUAGAUUUGUUCAUUUUGCACGGCAUUGCAUUGUUUGUUUGAGAGAAUAUUGUGCUGUCAACUUUGCAGUGGCAAUGUCAAAAGUGCAGAAAAAGCCACAAUGUUUACCCUUUUUUUUUUUUGUCUUUGUUUUUGCUUACUGUGGUCUGUUGCACAACAUGAAAGCGCUGUGUGCAAGAAGUACAUAUUUAUAUCGGCUCCCAGAUUAACAUAUUAGAGUAUUUGCGUGCAAAGCUCGAAACAUCUUUUGCAACAUAGUCUUAUCAUAGCAUUGACCUUAUAGUUGUUUUGUUAUGUUAAACUUGCAUAGGAGAAAGUAUUUAAAUUAUAUAAUUAUAAAUAGCAUCCUUAAAAUGGUUAGUUCAGCCAAAAAUUUAAUUUCUGUCAUUAAUUACUCAUCCUCAUAUCGUUCUAAACCCAUGAGACUUUCGUUCAUCUUUGGAAAACAAAUGACGCACAUCAGAGAUUAAUAUUUUGUAAAAAUAAUUAUGUUUGUUUUGUGCAAACAAAGCACUCGCGUCGUUUCAUAAAUUGGAUUACUUUAAUGAUGUCUUUACUACCUUUCUGGAGCUUGAAAGUUUCAGUUGCAUAGGCUGUCAAUGGAGGGAAAGAAAGCUCUCAGAUUUCAUCAAAAAGAUCUUCAUUUGUGUUCUGAAGAUGAAUGACAGUCUUACAGGUUUGGAACGACAUGGGGGGAGAGUAAUUUUAAUUUCUGGGUGAAUUAACCCUUUAACCAAAAUAAUCAUGAAAGGCUAAUAAACUAUACAUUGUUUAGCUAAAACGAAGUGAAUCCAAAUAAAGAAAUGCUUAAGCCAGCACUUGCCUUUCAAGGCCACAAAAUGUAUCAUGGUUGUAUCUUACCAACAGACUUUGUGGACAAAUAAACACCAUUUUGAAUUGUAAAGUAUUUUACACAAAAACACUCUGUGGUGAGGUGUCUGUUCUUCCACUUCUUCCCCUUCAGCCGUUACUGAAAAAGUAAACAAUGGCACCUGGAGUCAAGAUGGCUGAUCUCUUCUUCCUCCUAAUCAUCCAUUAGUGGCUUAAGUGUCAGUCGCGCCACAUGUCUAACAGAGCUCACAGGUUAAAAUCCCUCACGCCCCCCCUUCACUCAUACCUUUUAUCACCUACUCAUUUUCCUUUUUAUAAGACCAGCUUUGUUUUUUGUGGAGCGGCACUUACACCAUUUAAUGGUUUUGCACAGCUGCAUUCAUGACGUUUUCCAGAUUGUUUGUGUAUGGGAGAAUGAACAAACUUAUCCAGCAGGUGAUGCCUCUUCUUUAUCAACAUUUCACCAUGCUGUUUUCAUUCAAAUUUCAGUGACUGCAUCCAAACCAUUGUAUAAGACUAUCAUUAGUUCAAUCUCUUUCUCACAGGGAUGUAGGCGUCUUUACUGUAUUUUAUAGAGUUGGUUCCCAUGCUCCAAAAUGUGUGCUGUUUUGUUUGUGUGCGCAUGUAUUAUGUUUACAUUGGGUUUAAUUAUGUGAUCAUACUUGUUUGUAAAAAAGUGCUCCACCAGGGGGGCGUCAAGAGGAAUAGGGGGAAGGUUUUGUGGCUUCCUGGAGAUUAGGCCUUUAUUUACAGAGGGGUGCUCAAGUGUCCUUAACACAACACAAUACUAAUCCACAAGUCCAUUUUUACGCUUUUCUUUAUUAACUACAUUACUGUGAAGACCAUGUUUUCCCUAGGAGGGCUGGUCAUUUGUAUGGUAAUAUGAGUCCUAUUAGCAAGGAUUUUGAAGUCCCAGCCAGUCAGGACUUGCUGUCGAUCGUAUCGGGGAUUUAAAACGCGUGAAAAGUACAACAAGGCUGGUUUAGGGAAUAAGUAAUGCAACAAAAGACAUAUGGAUGGGAAAAGGGACACCAUCUUUUUUGCUGAUACUUUAUCUUCACAAACUCUUAAGGCAAAAUCUGUUGUUUUGACCUGUAACCAUAUGGCAGACAUCAGUGCUUUGGCCCCUUUGGCUUAGAAACCCAACACUUACAGACAUUCACUAUCACAUUCAUUAUCUGACUUGUGCUGGAUCAGAAGAAGGUACUUGAGUGUAGUUCCUGUGUUCUUGCCUUGCUGAAAAGACCUGAAUAGCGGCUCACCAGCAUAUGUUGUGUUUGGGAUGCUGGUCCCCAGCAUGGGUGCUGAUUUUCCCACCAGGCUUCUUAACUAACGUACCUAGCAAGACUUCCUUUGACAACCCUCUUCACCAUGCUGGUGCACCAGCCAAGAUGUUAUUGACUGUGAUUUUUACCAAGCAGGACGUAUUCCUGGAUCAACAUCCUUGAUGGUCCUGGAAAAACAUUACUGUUUUAGAGGUAGUUAAUGGCUAGGGUUACACCGUGCCUACACUGCGCCUAAUCGCUCCCAUUAUAAUCAACCAGGCUUUUUUUAUUUUAAAUGUGUUGCAAAGCUAAUUUAGCCACCUGUCUUAGUUA